rnacentral:rRNA from 1 species
CCUACGGGUGGCAGCAGUGGGGGAUAUUGCACAAUGGGGGGAACCCUGAUGCAGCGACGCCGCGUGGGUGAAGAAGCGCCUCGGCGCGUAAAGCCCUGUCAGCAGGGAAGAAAAUGACGGUACCUGCAGAAGAAGCCCCUGGCAACUACGUGCCAGCAGCCUCGGUAAGACGUAGGGGGCAAGCUUUAUCCGGAUGUACUGGGUGUAAAGGGGGCGCAGACGUGUAUGCAAGACAGGAGUGAAAGCCCGGGGCCCAACCCCGGGACUGCUCUUGGAACUGCGUGGCUGGAGUGCAGGAGGGGCAGGCGGAAUUCCUGGUGUAGCGGUGAAAUGCGUAGAUAUCAGGAGGAACACCGGUGGCGAAGGCGGCCUGCUGGACUGCAACUGACGUUGAGGCCCGAAAGCGUGGGGAGCAAACAGGAUUAGAUACCCCGGUAGUC